rnacentral:rRNA from 1 species
UACGGGGGGGGCAAGCGUUGUUCGGAAUUACUGGGCGUAAAGGGCUCGUAGGUGGCCAACUAAGUCAGACGUGAAAUCCCUCGGCUUAACCGGGGAACUGCGUCUGAUACUGGACGGCUUGAGUUUGGGAGAGGGAAGCGGAAUUUCUGGUGUAGCAGUGAAAUGCGUAGAUAUCAGAAGGAACAUCAGUGGCGAAGGCGGCUUCCUGGACCAAUACUGACGAUCAGGUGCGAAAGCGUGGGGAGCAAACAGG